CAAAAUUGCCAUUGCGUUCACCCCUUUAUGUUAUAUUCUUUGGGUAAGCGUAUUACGGGUGAUGGCAGCCCUGCACUUAAUAAAAGCAAUCGGCCAUUAUAGUUUCUUUUUUUCUUCUGAUGAUGCUGCUGAGCAUGGACAUGUAAAAAAUGUACGGAGAUUCUACGUUUGUUGCUGAAUAGAGGACUAACAUAUAAAAGAUAAUUGGAAAAAGGAUUAGAGACAAACACGUGGAUAUUGUUGGCGUAAAUUAAAACAGAAGUGAUAUAAUAUCGAUUAUUUACUAGAAGACUGCCAUAACUCAAAAACGGUAUUUUUUCAUAAGAGGCGUUUAAUGUUUACAAAAUGCAGAAAAUAAGAAUGAAUAUUGCCUUUUUAUGCUGCUGAGCAUGGACAUGUAAAAAAUGUGAGAAAUCUUAUAAUUAUAACCAAAUAAUUUACGUUAUGCAUUAAAUAUACAGGUACGAAGAUUCUACGUUUGUUGCUGAAUAGAGGACUAACAUAUAAAAGAUAAUUUGAAAAAGGAUUACAGACAAACACGUGGAUAUUAUUGGCGUAAAUUAAAACAGAAGUGGUAAAUUAAAACAGAAGUGGCGUUUAAAGUUUACAAA